rnacentral:tRNA from 1 species
CGCGCUGUAGAGCAGUGGCCAGCUCGCAAGGCUCAUAACCUUGAGGUCGUCGGUUCGAAUCCGGCCAGCGCAA